rnacentral:tRNA from 1 species
GCCCCGAUAGCUUAAUUGGUAGAGCAGCGGCCUCUUAAGCCGACGGUUCCAGGUUCGAGUCCUGGUCGGGGCA